GAGCGCGCCCGCUUCAAGGUGGGAGUCAGCAUGGUGUUAUCCUCGGAGGGGGGUGAUGACGUGGCUGAUAAUGCGGGGCACAUCGCGUCAGGCGGGUAACCGAGCAUCGCUACAGCUCCAGCUCUCGCCAGUGAAGGGAUCACGCGCUC
rfam:Selaginella moellendorffii unplaced genomic scaffold SELMOscaffold_91, whole genome shotgun sequence.